GNUGGAUUCGGGCUUAUUAGAUACCUGGGUAGUCCACGCUGUAAACGAUGGAUACUAGGUGUGCGGGGACUGACCCCCUGCGUGCGCAGCUAACGCAAUAAGUAUCCCACCUGGGGAGUACGAUCGCAAGGUUAAACUCAAAGGAAUUGACGNGGGCCCGCACAAGCGGUGGAUUAUGUGGUUUAAUUCGAUGCAACGCGAAGAACCUUACCAGGGCUUGACAUCCUACUAACGAAGUAGAGAUACAUUAGGUACCCUUCGGGGGAAGUAGAGACAGGUGGUGCAUGGUUGUCGUCAGCUCGUGUCGUGAGAUGUUGGGUUAAGUCCCGCAACGAGCGCAACCCUUAUUGUUAGUUGCUACGCAAGAGCACUCUAGCGAGACUGCCGUUGACAAAACGGAGGAAGGUGGGGACGACGUCAAAUCAUCAUGCCCCUUAUGUCCUGGGCUACACACGUAAUACAAUGGCGGUCAACAGAGGGAUGCAAAGCCGUGAGGUGGAGCGAACCCCUAAAAGCCGUCCCAGUUCAGAUCGCAGUCUGCAACCCGACUGCGUGAAGUCGGAAUCGCUAGUAAUCGCGGAUCAGCAUGCCGCGGUGAAUACGUUCCCGGGCCUUGUACACACCGCCCGUCACACCAUGAGAGUCGGGAACACCCGAAGUCCGUAGCCUAACCGCAAGGAGGGCGCGGCCGAAGGUGGGUUCGAUAAUUGGGGUGAAGUCGUAACAAGG
rnacentral:rRNA from 1 species